rnacentral:lncRNA from 1 species
ACAUUUCAGGAUGUAUUAUGCAGAACUUAGGUGAUUUCAUUUAUGUAAUUUUUCACUUAACUCUUUUUUUUCAGUUAAUGGGAUCUUUUGUCUGCAGAAGGAGGAAGAGUCUGAGAUGCAAAGUUAUGCCCAGACAGAACUAUUGGCCAAGGUGACAGAAGUUUGGAAAGACCCAAGAUCUGGAAGCAAAAGAGGGAGGAACCAGAGUUCUCCUAAUGACAAGGAGCACUGGGCAGAAGGAGAAGCAGAGCCAGUAUGUUCCUGAAGUGUCAGCUGACAGUUUCUGCUACCUGGACCUUAUGGAAACCUGGUCUGGUCUGCAACUUGUAGUGUCGUUUGUCAAGAGAUUUUCACAGAUUUACACAUGGAGGUAUAUGGAGUAACUAUUUGAGUUCAGACUGAUUUGGCUUGAACUGAAGAAGCCUGACUUAUGGCCUAUCAAACAUACAUUGUACAUCUGCUUUAACCAUUAAAGAAGGCACGCUCUUAAGGUAAGAAUGCAUACUUCCCCUCCUAUGCCCUGUUGGUAAACUCUAAUGGUAGCGCCCUAUUAGUCCCUUUCCUGACAUCAGGGUCGUGUUGACCUGCUAGUUUGCAACUGAAUACCUCUCUGAAACUUUGAUGAAUAAUGUAUCCUGGGCAUGUUUAAUGUAUGUUCUUUGUUCUAAAAAGAUAUGAGACUAUUCUGAAAAUACUGAAAACCAUACUUCUCCGGAGUGCUUUGUAAGGCCUUUCCAGGUUGUAAUCCUCACUCUUGCUCAAGUAAAACUCACCUUAUUUC